ACUUAAGCAUAUCAGUAAGCGGAGGAAAAGAAACUAACUAGGAUUCCUUAGUAACGGCGAGUGAACCGGGACCAGCUCAAAUUUGUAAUCUGACAGCCCAAGAGGAUGUCCGAGUUGUAUUUGAGAGGGUAUGCUUGUGCUAACCAGGAGGGUCCAAGUCCUUUGGAAAAAGGCAUCAUAGAGGGUGAAAAUCCCGUCUAGGCCCUUUAUGGAAGGCAGCUAUCAAGCUCACCUAAAGAGUCGGAUUGUUUGGGAAUGCAAUCCUAAAUGGGUGAUACAUGUCAUCUAAAGCUAAAUAUGUGCAAGAGACCGAUAGCAAACAAGUACCGUAAGGGAAAGAUGAAAAGGACUUUGAAAAGAGAGUCAAAAGUACGUGAAAUUGUUAUAAGGGAAACGAUUAAUACUGCUAGUGUAGGACAAGGGUCUUCAGAAGGGACCUCCAUAUCCCUUUGUAGUGAUUCUUGACCACGUUGACCUCCCUGAAGGGUCUUGCAAAAGCGCUUGGGAAAGGUGGCUUCCUCUCUCGUGGAGGAACGCUUUAUAGUCCUAGGAGAUGGUAGCAAGAUUUUUGAGGGAUCGGUGUUUGCCGAGGAAGAGACCAAGGUGCCUAGGCCCUCCAUGAGAAGACCUUUGAUCACACCUGGCCUCACUGGUCAAUGCAGUGGUAUUAACCGACCCGUCUUGAAACACGGACCAAGGAGUGUAACUAUGAUGCGAGUCAUUGGGUGGCAAACCCAAGGGCGUAACGAAAGUAAUUGCGCGUGGGAACAAGGACUUUGUUGUCCUUAUGCACCACGGCCCGGUUCUAACCGCUGGUUUGGAUCGAGGUAGAGCAUCAUGGCUACGACCCGAAA
rnacentral:rRNA from 1 species